CCCACUUCUCAUGGAAGUUACGCCCCACUUCUCAUCCGUUCCCGCCUAAACGCUCUUGACCUUUAGGUGCUUUAUUGCCGACUCCUGGUGUACCACUUGUCCUUAUUUCUUUGGCUCACACGUGGGUUAGGUCGGCGUGUUAAUUUUUUGGUAUCAACAUUGCCCCCCCAAUAGUCUUUCGAAUGAACGUUCGAAUGACUAUUGGUGCAAAAUCAACGGCUCAAUGACACAGCCGAGACCCGAGCUUAAUUUCGCUAGCCU
rnacentral:lncRNA from 1 species